ensembl:lncRNA
UAUAGCCAGGGACCCACAUCACCAGUUGGAGGAAGUUGCAGAGACGGUGGAUUCUAUUGGUGCAGUGACUGUUUAUCCAGAAAAAUAGUGGUUGUUCAGUCAACGUUGCAAGGUUGCCUUUUUGGGACUUUAUUCCAUAUAUCCAAAGCACACUGGAUGUGGCAGGUCUGAAGAAGCAGAACAGGGAUGGGUUCAUUCAUCACCUAUGCUGACCCAAAGACAUCUACAAGACUCUCACAGCAAGGUUUCAGCUCUUCGUUUCGCCAUCUGCGAGAGGAACUGUUUAUAGAAGUCACUAUGACCCAACACAGCUCCCACCAGGGCUGAAUGGAAAGCUUACCAUUGACUUCAGGGCAGCAGAACUGAGCCAAGAAACACAAGUUUUGGGUACAACGCUUACCAAUGAAUAAAAGCUCCACUGAUUUGGAAGUGACCUGGCUUAGAAUAUAGGAUGUUCUGCUCUAGAUCUAAACCAUGCCUACUCAACGGAUACAUUUCUUUUUGUUGUUCUUAUUGAUUGCUUUUGUUACUUAUCCAUUUAUUUGUUUAAUUGAAAUGACGUUUCUUUCCCUCAUUCCUCUUUGUGGGCAUAAAACACUUGAUCUGAUGUUCCCUGGGGCAGAUGAUAGUGCAGUUUGAAGGGAACAUAUGAAGACAAAAGUUCCAAGGAGACCAGGUUUGGGAUGCAAGGCAUGGGGAUGCUCCUCAAGUGAUGUGACAGCGAGAUGGUUAGCACAGGCUGCCUGCUCUGGGUAUGGCUUGGCUUCAUGGGGAGCCCUUUCUGUGCUGGACAGCUUACAGGAACACAGGGUUAUGAGCUUACCUUGCUUUUAGAUCCUAACGAAGUGGAAAUGAGGAAGAAUCUGAAAACAAACAAACACAAAAAGACAACAAAGUUUGACUUUAUUCAACAUAUUUUUGCUAGCCUGGAGCCUUAAUAGCUGUUUUGGUACAAACUCUGAUCUCCACUUAGAUUUCACUCUUUCUGCGUGGAAAGAACUGUCAUGUCACAUCUACAGCUCCUUCAAAGAAGACUCCUUUGCUUUAUUUGAAUUGAAGAAAGCUUUGUGCAUAUUGUUUAUGAGUAUUAGGUUUCAGAUUGUUUUUGCAUUGUGCUUGGUAGCCCGCUUUCUGCAUUUACCCAUCACAUACUGGUCAGUGAGAGGGUGGAGGUGUGGGACUGCAUUUGUGUGCGUGUGUCCACGUGGGAGGGGGACAUGUAGUUGUGCAGGGCUGGCUAGCUUGAUCUGGGGGUGACUUGUGGACACAUUGUCAGGAGUGCCACUGUGUUCAGUGGCCAUUUCUCUAUUUAAGCAAAGCCUAAAUGGCAGUGAGCUAUUUAGUGGUGAUUCAUUACCAAUUGCCCUAUUUUUCUAAGGCUGGCUUGUACUUGUACACCGGAACAUCUUGUAGAAAUAUCCCUAAUAAAGCAAUUUUGCUGGGAGCUUGAUAAGAUCUUUGCAGAAGAGAACUGGUUCUUUGAGCACAGCAGCAGCUUGGCUUUAUGCCUUGAAAUAGCUCCUCUUCUAUUUCUACUUAGUCCUGGCAAACUGCAGUCAAACUUUCAUGGGAUUUUAGUGAUAAUUACUAUUAUUACCAGAAAACACAUCUGUCCCAGUGAAGGAUUCACAAGUGCUUAGUUAGAUUCUUGGGAACCCUCCAUGUUUUUAGAGGAAUCUGGUUGAGUUCACCCAAAAGAGUGAAGGAGCACAGGGCUGAGGGCAGAGAGGUUUAGGGUCAAUGUCUGGAUUUCAGAAAGAUUUUAAUAGGAUGUUGCCCUGCAAUUUCUAAGAAAAGUGUACUAUUGGAAAGGGAACGUGCUCUGGGGAGGGCUGUCAGAUGAACCUGGUGGAUGUGGAACCAUGAUCUGGUGCCACAGGGUUAUGAUUUUAUGGGCAAAUACAGUAAAAAACACUGUGUAUAAGCUCUCUCUGGUCACCUGCACUACCUUGGGCCUUGUCAGUAUGUCCUAAGACAGUUAUCCUUAGCACUGGUAAAGAGUAAAUGCUCAAUUUUCUAAGUAGAUGACAAUUUUCACACCACUCUUGAGACCUCCUGCUCGGAAUCUGUGGGAUCUGGUGUUCAAAACAGCAGAAUUGGUCUGGAAAAAAGGAGCAUAGGAUAAUGUGACAGUGAUGGCCGAUGGCAAACCACUGGUAUUAUGGGAUGUGUCUCACCAUUGAGUGCCUGGACUGGUAAAUUCAGCAUCACUAAGCAGACAGCCAUUCAUGCAGCAGGAAAGAGCAUAAAAAUAUGCACAGAUUGAUGAGUAAAGAACACUGUUAAAUUAAACAGAGGAGUCACAUAGGGAGGAGAGAGCCACGCCUUGUCCCCAUACCUACUGGGAGAGGAUUUUGGCCCAUGGGGAGUGGAAAAAGGCAUGCUUGGGCCCUGGUUUCUUUGCUAUGCUUGGAUAGGCUUUCAUCUCUUUCUUAUGUAUACUCGGCUCAAGAUUUUCCCCUAAGCAUAACAGGAUUAUAUUUCAGCCUUCAUGUGAUCUUACAAAUCAACGUUCAGUCCCACGUGGAGUAGCUGUAGGAAAGGUAGUGUGUGAGGCUCUCUACAUUUUUCAAAAGACAGCAGGUAAUUUUGAAUACUAAAUCCCAUCCUGCAUUCUGUAUGUUUUUUCACUGCAACUUGCAGUGCAGAUGAUCCUAGAUAAGUAACAAAAUCAAUAUUCUUUACCUUGCUACUCAGCAAACCCAUACACUAUGAAUUUUGGAAUGAGUGCUUAGUGGCCAGCAUGCCUUUGCUCACAAUAAAGGUACUGAAAAAUUCUGUGUUAUCUUGAAGUUUUGCCUUUCACCUUUGUGAUUCCAUUGAUCCCAAGGUUGCUAAGGCAUGAGAGGAAAAGAUCCAUCCAAUUAAUUCUUAAAAGGGCACUGAAUAUUCCCAGGCAGAAGCCAGCUCAACAAAGCCAUGCCUGCAGUGCUAUCAAUGCUGAAAAGUUGUUUUGAAAGUGGAUUUCUUUCCCCCAUUAAAAUACCAAGACAUGGCAUUAAGUACACAUAGGAAAUUAAACGUGUUGAUGAGCUAAAGGUUUUGCUGUGUGCCUUUGAUAGGAACCUGAUCUUUAUUACACUGCAAUUUGGACAUUCCAAACAUGUAUCCCUUAUAAGGGAUGGCACACAAAUGAUGAUACAUUCCUCAAUGUGCAUCACAUAGUUUUAAAAUCACGGUCCAUUCACUGUAGGUGGUGAGGCCAAUGAAACAUUUAAUAAGUGCAACUUUAGUUUGCUUUCUGGUUUCUUUACAAAGGAGCAGAGGAUCAGCUCUUCUUGAUGAGGGACCAGAAAUCAGGGGGUACCCUGAAUUUGGAGAUGGGUUUUCUUUUCCUAUUUCCAUCUGGCUUGAUCCUUUUCCAUGCUAAUUCUACAGCUAGAAAAAUGCCGCAGAGGCAAUGAAAUGAACAUAUGUGCAUGGUUAUAAAGUGGGUGAUGUUACUGCCUUUUUCUUAACAGCUUUGCACAGAUAUUUUUUGGUAUUUGAAAUACAGUGACUUAAUUCAC